CUGCUCCUCAUCAGUACUGGGGUUUGACAGCUUCUUCUCCACUGCCACCUCCUGCUCCUGGUGAGGUGCGUUGUUGUUGCUGGAGUCCUGAGGUGGAAAAUAUAAGUCCCUGAGUUGUGGGACUGCCUCCCCGUGGCUUGGCGCUCUCUUUACAGCUGCUGGCAAUUGCUGAUUGACACCUGACUCCUGUGGCUCAUCAGCGGCUUCUUAAGUCCUGGCUUAAUCUGGCCUCCACUGGAUUGUUAAGUCAUGAUCAAGUUGAAGUUCCUGGUUUACCGGUUCUGCCUUCUGCUCUGCCUAACUUACAGAAGCUGCGAGGGAAACAAACAUUCUCCAACCAGCUUCUCCAGCUACAUCUGCCUUGCCUGCCUUUGCCACACCUG